rnacentral:lncRNA from 1 species
CCAGUCUAUAGAAAGCCAUGGGUCUAGUCUCAAAGGUAUUUUUCAACCAAUCUGUAAAUACUGAAUUGUCAUCCAAUCUAGCCCAUGCCAUAUGUAAAUAUUCCCAUGUAUCUUUUGCAGGAGGACAUGCCCAGAAAAUAUGCUCCCUUGUUUCAGCUCCUGUUAGACACCUUCUACACAUGGGGGAAGCCAUCAUUCUGAGAUAAUGAAGAUUACUAAAACUAGGCAUAUAGUUACAAAGUUUCUCCAUAUUGUAAUUUUGAUUUUCGAGGGUAGAUUCAUUUUCCAUAAUUUCUUGUAAAUUUGCUUGUGAUCUGAAUGUAAUUGAUCCCGACCUUCUUGUAAAAGAAGUCUGUGACCACUUCGGACCAAGAAUUCUCCUGACAACUUACCCCGCCAUACAAGAGUGUCUUCAUGCUCAAACAAAGGAAGAGGAAUACAGAGGAUCCUUUUUGCAGUCUGUUCAUCAAAGGUAAAACUGAUCAGAUCAGACUUUCAAUUUUUCGAACUUGCAUCAAUAAGAUCUGCAACUUUGAUGAGACUCUGAUUAUUAUUCAUAUUCUGAAUUUUGAGAUUAUCAUCUCCAGGUAUCCAAACAUCAUCCCAAAUGGAAGCUUUCUGACCAUUGUCAAUCCGCCAACCCAAACCUUUCAAGAGGAGGCCCCUCGCGGCCCAGAUACUCUGCCAAGUAAAAGAAGGUAGCCUUCCUAAACUGGAGUUUAAAAAAUCCCCAUCUUUAAAAUACCGAGCUUUCAAAGUACGCGCUAUUAAAAAAUUAGGAUUAUUUAACAGGCGCCAACCUUGUUUAUCCAAUAAAGCAAUAUUAAAAGAACUCAAAUGACGAAAUCUGAUACCACCUUCCUCCUUAGGCGCACAUAAGGAUUUCCAAUUACACCAGUGCAUCCCCCGCCUAUUAUGAUUAUUCCUCCAUCAAAAUGAGCUCAUAAUAUUUUCCAGUUCCACACAAAGCGAUUUCGAUAAAAGGAAACAAGCCAUCGAAUAUGUGGGAGUAGACUGUAAGACAGCCUUGAUAAAAACCUCUCUACCUCCUUGUGAAAUAUGCCUAAUACUCCAGUUAUUGAUUUUCUGCUUCAAACGAUCUUUCAACUUUUGAAAAGCCAUUUUCUUCUUACGACCCACCACAUUGGAAAGUCCAAGAUAACUUUCUGGAUCAGUCGAGCAACGAACAUUAAGCGCCUGAAACACCCUACUCUUGUCUUGAUCCUUUACAUUUGUGCUGAAAAAGACCGUAGAUUUUUCAUGAUUAACGCACUGACCCGAACAAGACUCAUACUCUCCAAGAAUUUCUUUCCGCACAUUAAUCCCCUGAUUUGAUACAUCUCCGAAUAGGAUACAGUCAUCAGCAAACAUCAGAUGAGUUAUAGGUGGGGCCAAUCUGGAAACUUUAGCUCCAUAAAUCUUUUUAUCCUGACUUGCCAACCUCAUUAGCACAGAAAGCCCUUCUCCAUAAAACAAUAAGAGAUAGGGACUUAAAAGGAUCCCCUUGACGCAAGCCCCUAGAAGGUUUGAAACUUAAACCUUCUGCCCCAUUAAUUAGAAUAGAAUACUGAACAAAAUUAACACAACAGAUAAUAAACUCAAUAAACCGUUUGUCGAAUCCCAUUUUUGACAUUAUGCUUUUAAUGAAAUUUCAUUCCACUCGAUCAUAGCCCUUGCUCAUAUCGAGUUUUAAAGCCAUGAAUCUCUUUUUCCUGUAUCUUUUGUUUUUAAAUAAAUGAAGCACCUCAUAUGCCAAAAGCACCUCAUCGGUGAUGAGUCUACCAGGAACGAAAGCACUUUGAGAGUUAUCGAUGCACGCAUGUAAAACCUUUUGAAGCCGAUUAGCAACAGUUUUUGCAAUGAUCUUAUAAAUAACAGUGCAUAGACUAAUUGGACGAAAAUUCUUAAGAUUGCUAGGACUGAUAGUCUUGGGAAUUAGCACUAUUUGUGUUUUGUUUAUAUCCCCCACAGAUUUCCUGUUAUUCAGAAUGUUUAAACAAUAUAUGCAAACGUUUAUACCAAUAAUGUGCCAGAAUUUCUGGUAGAAAAUUGCUGGUAAGCCAUCAGCUCCCGAAGCUUUUGUAGGUCCCAUGCCCUUCAACGCCUGAACUAUUUUGUUCUCCUUCUAAGUGGCCAACAAACAUUGGUUCAUUUGAUCUGAUACGCACGAAUGUACUCUGGAUAGGAUAUGUCCCAAAUCCCCAAUUCCUCUAGAGGCAAAAAGAUCCGAAAAGUACUCACGGGCGAUGCAUUCCAUCUCCCUACCAUCUGAAGCAAGAGAACCAUCCCUUCUUUGCAAAGCUUUGAGUUGAUUAGCACGUCUUCUUUGGGAAGUAAAUUUAUGAAAAAAGGAAGUAUUCUUGUCCCCCAUUUUCAACCAAUUUGCUCUUGGACGUUGCUCCCAAUACUUUUCCUCCUUAUCCAUCUCCAUAUUUAAAUGAAGUUUGACCUCGACUAUUUCUCCCAAGUUCUCCUCUGAAAUAUCCUCACAAUUUAGCUCAUCCAAUCUCCUAUUCAACCUUUUCACUUCCCUCCCUCUUUUGGUCUUAAUCCUAUUCCCCCAAUAUCUCAACCCAGUGGCCAAUGUUUCCAUUCAGAAUAAAAAAGAUCCAAAACUGCCUUCCCAUAACUUUCUUAUCUCCGCUUCACAUGACUCUUCCAAAACCCACCAGACUUCAAAACGAAAUCUAUCGGAUUGUCUACCUAUUCCAACAUCCUCCGUAUCAAUGAGCAAAGGACAAUGAUCGGAGAAAGAAUGUGGAAGAUAUCUCAAGGAAUACCGUGGGAAUUGUUGAAACCAACCAUCAUUAGCAACCCCUCUAUCGAUGCGUUCCCUAAUAUUUUUCUCAACAGUUCUACCUCUUUCCCAUGUGAACCAAGCUCCCGAAAAACCUAAAUCUUUCAAUUGACAAGCUUCCAAAGUCUUAUGGAAAGCUUUCAUACGAGCCUCUUCUCUUAACAAGCCUCCUUGUUUUUCAUGAGAAAAAAGAAUAUCGUUGAAAUCUCCCCCAACCAACCAAGGUAAAGAAUUAUCCCGCCUUAAUCUUCGAAUUAACUCCUCACUAAUUUAAAUCUAACCUCUGGAGCCUCAUAGAACCCUGUGAACCGCCAUCGAAAAUUUUCUUCUUGAAUCUCAACAUCAAUAUGAUUCUUUGAGAAGCUCUGCAAAUUGACUAAGUUAUUCCCAUUCCAUCCAAGGCUUAAUCCUCCUCUAGACCCAUUAGCCGAGACGUCAACACCAUUAACGAAACCAAAAUUUUUUCUAACAAACUCCAUUUUUGUAGCACUCAAUUUAGUCUCCGUAAAUAAGGCAAUUUGGGGACGAUAAAUCUUCAGCAUACUCUUAAGUCUUCUAACUGCUCGCGGACUCCCCAAUCCGCGAACGUUCCAGCAUAUAAUUUUCAUUGCCUUCGGUCGGCUUGCCCAAUGGCAGCCGCCGAUAUCUGUUUAGGAUGAGAAAAGUUCUUCCCAGCAACCUCCAAUGAAUCUUGAGUGUUAGAAACAUUAGAGAUCAAAGAAUUAGAUCUUUGCCUUUUUUUUCCUUCAUAAUUGAGAAAAGGUUCAUCCUCUAGCUCACAAUCCAUACAUGACACCCCUUUCUCCUGUAAACGACCCAGUCCACCUGGAGUAGUCAUUUGAAUGACACCAUAAUGUGCAAGGCCAGAAAGUUGACCUUUUUCACGAUCCAAGUCAUUAUCUCCAUUAUGAUGGGAAUUAUUUCCUUGCUGAUACUCAUUCAAUCCAGAAGGAAAUUUGGUACCUUCUAAAUUUAUUCCAAGAGGGAAAUUGAAAUUUCUUCUAGAUUCUCUCCCCUUAUUUUGGCUUGAUUGGUGACUAGAAGAUUGGCCAAAUCUAGACUUUCCAAAAAAAUUGUUGUCUCCUUCCCCUUUCAACCAAAUGCUGUUGACAAUGGAAGCCUUUCUCCCUUGAGCUCUCAAUGAUAGAUCCCAACCCAUCUCUAAUUCAUGCAUUCCAUAUUGUAAUCUCAUUGGACAGAAAUUAUCUUCAUGACCCAGACGUCCACAUAAAAAACAUAAAAGAGUUAAUCUUUCAUACUUAAACUUUGCAUAAGUAAACUUGGACUCUGAGAUCUUAAUUUUCUUUCGCCGUGGUAAAGAUUUUCGAACAUCAAGUUGAGCCCGAAUCCGCAUAUAAUUCAUAUACCCAGUGGAUAGUUGCUUCGUGUCAUAUUCCAGAAAUUUUCCAAUAAAAUUUCCAAAUUGAACUGCCAUAGAAUCUCUAAAGAAGCCCGGAGGAAGAUCAUGAACCUGAAUCCACCAGUCUGAAAACACCAAAGGGACAGCCAUAGGGUCUUCACCAUUAUUGAAAGUCCAAGGAGCGCCUGAAAUAACUCGAGAAAUAUCCACCUCAUUAAAAAGCUUAAAAAGAAAACGUUUCUCCCCGAGAUCUGAAAUUUGCACACCCUCUAAAUGAUGCCAAAUGUUAGCCAUAGUGUUUCUCAUUGCAGGAAUAUUCACCACACUAGCCGCAAGAUAACACCCUACCAAACAGAAAUCAUACAGUGCGUUUUGUUCUUCAGAGUCAACCGGUAAAGAAAACGCCUCAUCUUCACCAUCACCAUCAUUCAGAUUUAAGUCGACUAUUCCUCUAUCCAUCCAAUAAAAAGAAACUAAACCCUCCAAACUAAAAGACAAGUCGACAGAAUACCAGAAGACUCAAAGAAAGAAGAAAAGAAGACAGAAAAAAACCAGAGAUCAAGACUAAAUCAUGUCAAAAGCGACUGAUAGAGAAACGUGCCAAAGCGGCAGACUAAAUAUUUAUUUUUAAAUAUUUAGUACUUUUAUAUAUUAUUUUCAUUUAUUAGAAAUUUACAUACAAACAACUUAACAUAUUUUAAUGUAAAAAAAAUUACAUUAUAGGUUUAAUUUUUAUAUAUUAUAUAUUAUAAAUUACAUAAUAAUAUAAUAUAUUACAAAUUUAUAAAAUAUGUUAAGUGAAGUUGGGCUCGAGACUAAUUCAUAUAUAUAUAUAUUUUUGUAUAAACUCGAGUCUAAUAUUUUUAUUUAAAUUCUUUAAAAUUCGAAUAAGUAUUUAAGUUUAAACUGAUAACUCAGCCUUUUUCUUUCUAACUCCGAACGAUAACUACAGUCAGCAAGUAUUUCCAAAGGGCAGAUUAAGCGUAGGCGAAUAUGGAUAAUAUGAUGCAAAACUUUAGUUGGGCCAAUCUAUUUUUUUGGGUCAAUAGGAAAUCUAUCUUUUGGGGGUAUUAGAGUCCAAAUUAUUAAAUUGAAUUUUCCUGUAACCUAACUUUGGGACUCACUAAGAAAGUGAAGGGAUUAUUGGGAUUUAAUAAAAAAUUGGAACAUAAAUAGAAUUGAUAAAGAAUUGAAAAGAGAAAAGUAAAAAUAAUUUACUUGUAAUAAUCAAAAGGAAAUAGAAAACAAUGUCUUUGUUAUUGGAGCAUUAGCUAAAGGUUUUCAUCUUAUAACUCAUAAGUCCGAAUUGUAGAGAUUCUCUGUGUUUACAGUAAUUUAACAGUGGUUCGUAAAAAUAAAAAGAAGGGUUUCUGAGGAAAAAGAAAAAGAAAAAUUGUUAUUUACAGUUUGCUCCUUCCUUUUUAGCAUACAAAUCAUUAACAUCCUUAAUUUCAGCUAUUUCUUCUUCUUCUUCUUCUCACCUGAAACCUUGAUGACAAUUGAAGCUUGAGACCCAGCUUUGUCGAAUCCAUGUCUGGAAACAGCUUUUGCUUUUCUUUUUGGUCAUAAUUUACAGUAAGAACUACUUUUUUUCAAUCUGAAAUAGAAUGAACAUGCCAACACAAAAGCAUGGAGACACAACGUCCGAGGAUAUAAAACCGGGUUUUCUGCUGCUUUGCCAUCGACGAACACCGUUUCCUCAAACUGGGUUUCCGAGAUCGGCAACAAAGAUUCCUUUUGGAG